UACGGAAGGUCCGGGCGUUAUCCGGAUUUAUUGGGUUUAAAGGGAGCGCAGACGGGCUGUUAAGCGUGCCGUGAAAUAUUGGGGCUCAACCUUGAUGUGCGGCGCGAACUGGCGGCCUUGAGUGGACGGUAGGCAGGCGGAAUUCGUGGUGUAGCGGUGAAAUGCUUAGAUAUCACGAGGAACUCCGAUUGCGAAGGCAGCCUGCCGCAGUCUUACUGACGUUCAUGCUCGAAGGUGCGGGUAUC
rnacentral:rRNA from 1 species